AUUUCAUUCUUUCACCGGAUGUGACACAACCUCAUCCUUUAACGGAAGAGGGAAAAAAAACCGCGUUUGAAGCUUGGAAAGCAUAUCCGAAUGUCACACGGGGGUUUGAAGCACUGUAUAGGGGGGAAUAUGACAGAGCGGACCCUGAAAUUCAAAAAUUUGUUAUUACCAUGUAUGACAGAUCAUGCCCCUCUGAGACAGUAAAUGAGUGUCGCAAGAAUUUAUUUACAAAAAAAGACAGGCAACUCGAUUAUUUGCCUCCUACUGAAGCUGCUCUCAAACAACAUACCUUAAGGGCAGUUUUACAGGCUGUUUAUGUUUGGGGGCAGUGCCUAAUAAAAAACCAGAAUAUUCCUUGCCCAUCUGAAUGGGGUUGGCAGAAAGAAGGAGAAGUUUGGGUGCCACUGUGGACCCAAAGUCCUAUGGCUGCUCAAGCAUGCCUGGAGUUGAUUAGAUGUAGGUGCUUGAAAUCUUGCAGAAACAAAUGUAAUUGCUCCAAACGCCAGCUCAAAUGCACAGAACUAUGUAAUUGUGGAGGAAAUUGUAAAUAAAUGUCUGUAAACUUUAA